rnacentral:tRNA from 1 species
GCCCAAUGGAUAAGGCAUUGGCUUCCUAAGCCAGAGAUUGUGGGUUCAAGUCCCAC